rnacentral:rRNA from 1 species
UACGGAGGGUGCAAGCGUUAAUCGGAAUGACUGGGCGUAAAGGGUGCGUAGGUGGAUUCUUAAGUUAUAGGUGAAAUCACUGGGCUUAACCUGGUGCGGAAUUAUAAUACUGGGAGUCUAGAGGACAGGAGAGGGUAGUGGAAUUUCCGGUGUAGCGGUGAAAUGCGUAGAGAUCGGAAGGAACACCAGUUGCGAAGGCGGCUACCUGGCCUGUUACUGACACUGAGGCACGAAAGCGUGGGGAGCAAACAGG